rfam:Elusimicrobia bacterium RIFCSPLOWO2_12_FTLL_59_9 rifcsplowo2_12_scaffold_29314, whole genome shotgun sequence.
GCCCCCAUAGCUUAAUGGAUAAAGCACCAGCCUUCUAAGCUGGUAAUCGAUGUUCGAUUCCUCGUGGGGGCA